CCUACGGGAGGCAGCAGUGGGGAAUAUUGCACAAUGGGGGAAACCCUGAUGCAGCGACGCCGCGUGAGCGAUGAAGGAAUUCGUUUCGUAAAGCUCUGUCCUAGGGGAAGAUAAUGACAGUACCCUUGGAGGAAGCCCCGGCUAAAUACGUGCCAGCAGCCGCGGUAAUACGUAUGGGGCGAGCGUUGUCCGGAAUUAUUGGGCGUAAAGGGUACGUAGGCGGUUAGAUAAGUCAGAUGUAAAAGCGUGGGGCUCAACCCCAUAAAGCAUUUGAAACUGUGUAGCUUGAGUAGUGGAGAGGAAAGUGGAAUUCCUAGUGUAGCGGUGAAAUGCGUAGAUAUUAGGAGGAAUACCAGUGGCGAAGGCGACUUUCUGGACACAAACUGACGCUGAGGUACGAAAGCAUGGGGAGCAAACAGGAUUAGAUACCCUGGUAGUCCAUGCCGUAAACGAUGAAUGCUAGGUGUCGGGGGUCAAACCUCGGUGCCGCAGUUAACACAGUAAGCAUUCCGCCUGGGGAGUACGGUGGCAACACUGAAACUCAAAUGAAUUGACGG
rnacentral:rRNA from 1 species